rnacentral:rRNA from 1 species
CUAAUACCGGAUAAGAAAGCAGAUCGCAUGAUCAGCUUUUAAAGGCGGCGUAAAGCUGUCGCUAUGGGGGAUGGGCCCCGCGGUGCAUUAGCUAGUUGGCAAGGUAAAGGGCUUACCAAGGCGAUGAUGCAUAGCCCGAGUUGAGAGACUGAUCGGCCACAUUGGGGACUGAGACACGGGCCCAAACUCCUACGGGAGGCAGCAGUAGGGAAUCUUCCACAAUGGACGCAAGUCUGAUGGAGCAAACGCCGCGUGAGUGAAGAAGGUUUUCGGAUCGUAAAAAGCUCUGCUGUUGGUGAAGAAGGAUAGAGGUAGUAACUGGCCUUUAUUUGACGGUAAUCAACCAGAAAGUCCCCGGGCUAACUACGUGCCCAGCAGCCGCGGUAAAU